rnacentral:rRNA from 1 species
CCCUUCGAUGUUCGGAGCUGCACGCGCGCUACACUGUGGGUGGCAGCAUGUUAGCUUGCCUCGCUCGCAAGAGUGGGGUAAUCGUUUGAAAAUCCCACGUGAUUGGGAUAGGGACUUGUAAUUAUUUCCCUUGAACGAGGAAUCCCUAGUAAGUGCAGGUCAUCAGCUUGCGCUGAUUACGUCCCUGCCCUUUGUACACACCGCCCGUCGCUACUACCGAUUGAACGUUUUAGUGAGGUAUUUGGACUGGACCUUCGGAGGUUCGCGCCUCCGUUGCUGUUCGGGAAGACUCCCAAACUUGAGCGUUUAGAGGAAGUAAAAGUCGUAACA